CCUCUUCGCCCCCGUGGCAAAGUCCUGACCGAGCCUCCGCUGCCCGACCCCGCUCCCGCUGCCCAGACCCGGAGGGGGCCCGCGGCCGCGCCUCCAGCCCCUGGGCGGGAGGAGGGCGGAGGAGGGCCUCGCCUCUCCAGGGAUGCAGGCGGCAGAGCCCGGCGGCGGCGGCCCCCGAGGGACCAACAUAGGGAGCAGGACAGCCAGCUCCAUGGAGGUGACCUCAGCUAUGGAGAGAAGUGGCCCCGAACCACAGCUGGAUGAUGGACACCUUCCAGGACCCUGGUCCUGUCCUCGGGAAGACCGAACAACCAGCCUGAUGGUCCCCCAGCCUCCCAGGGCAUGGGGGACACAGCUCCAAGGCCCCUCUGUGCUGGAGUCUAAGGUGAGGGCCUUGAAGGAAAAGAUGACAACAGGCAAACUGGGGAUGAGCCCAGGCCUCACUUCCCAUGAGCGCCCAUCCUCUAAGAAACUCAGAUGUAGGCGAGUCAAGGUGGGUGGAACUGGGACCCUGUCGGAGGGGUCUUCCCAACCAGAUGCUGCGGUGGUCCUCCACGCUCAGAACCUGACCAACGGGCAGCUGGACAGCAGCGGCAAUGAGGAGGAACCCGCCAGGAAUGGGGGCCGCAGCCCUCCCAGGCCGCCUGCUCCUGGGCUCCAUCACUGGAAUGGGAGGAGCCUGUGGCCUCCAGAAGCAGUAUGGACGCUGCCUGACCACGAGAGGGGUUUGCCGCCAGGGCCCGACUCUUUGCCAGAGAGCCCCAUCCACAGAAGCACUCCAGGCCAGCCUGAGGGCCCCGGUCCUUGUAACAGAAGCACGCACAUGCCCAACCUGAGGGAAGGAAGGCCAUAUCCCCUUCAGGAUGGUCUAGUCACAGGGAGAGACUUGGACAGCUUGUCUCUGACCUCUGAGGAGGACUGUGUCCCCAGGCCAGCCCUGCUUGUGGGGCUCUGGAGAGCUGGAGACUUGGGGGCUCCGGGCACUGGAGGCAAUGCCUUGUCCUUGUCUGACCGGGUGGAGAGAAACCGUCGUCAGCUGCAGGAGGUGCUAAGUGUCGGGGGGCGUGUUCCCCCCAAGGUGGGAAUCCCUGCCUGGUCUCCAUCCUGGGACGGAGCUGCAGCAGACCGACCAGCAGGGGACGCGGACUGGGAUUCAGGCAUCUCACUGCAGGACUCAGACCAGAACAGGACCUUUGGUCCCAAGUCGGAGCCUGUCCUGAGCCCCAGGCAUGAGGAGGCCACGCAUCUGCUGCAGCAUGCCCGCAUGAAGGCCAGGACCCGGCCCCUCCGUGCCAGCCAUGAUAUCAUGCCCACCAUUGCCCAGGGCAGCCGAGAUGGCAGGAGAAGCCCAGCCUUGGACCCGAGAAUGUCCUUUGCCUUCAGAGACAACCUCCAGAAUGGGAAUACGAGUGACUCCUCCAGCGGAGAGUCCAGCAGCGGGCAGUGGGCCAAGCCCGGCACCUCGCCAUCCCACGUCCGCUUUGAGGAUGAGUCGGCCCGCGACGCCGAGUCCCGCUACCUGGAGAGGCUGCAGCAGCGUCAGCGCCAGGUGCUGAGCUCCGCGCUGCAAAGGGUGGAUCGGGGCCCCCUGCGCUGCAAGCCUGACCUCGCCCACUACAUCAGUGGGGGCUGCCGGUGCAGGGACGGGGGCAAAGGGACCCUCUGCAGGCUUGUGGGCAGCCAGGACCAGAGGGGCCUCCUGGCACCACCUCCCGCCCCGGGCAGCGAGGGGAAGUGCUGCGCCUGCAGCAGCCGCAUGGAGGACCCACACCUUGGCCAGGGGCAGGCACCCCCAGGUCCCCGGGUACUCCAGGAAUGCGAGGCUGCCUGUGGGGUGGAGGAGGUACAGGCGGAGCCCCUCAGCUCUCGGGGUCCUAGCACCCCAGUCAGGCUCCUCCCUGCUGAUCAGGGGCUCUGCACAGAUCGCAUCCAGGAAACGCACAUUGGCCACCCACUGCGCCACGAGGAGGUGGACUCUGCCCUGGACAGCACGGACACCUCCGACAGCUGCAGGACCGACAGUGAGGAGGUGGGGACCCCUCAGCCUGGCAAGGCCAGCCGCCCCCGCCUGCAGGGCUCCAGGCCUCGAGGAGGCCCCAGGAAGUUCCAAAAGGCAGAAACAGAGCUGCCGGGGAUCCCUCAGGCCCUGUGCUACUUGUCUGCAGUUGAUCACCUGGAGGUUGGAGAUGAGGGGCAAGAGGGCAGAGGGCAGAUGCCUGAGGGGACUCUGUUUCCCAGAGGAGAUGCUUUCUCAAGGCCUCCAGCCCUGGAAUCUAAAAGGGCUUCCCUGGGGUCCCAGUGGCAGCCUGGACCAGGACUAGGAAGUCACCGUGCUCAGCCCGUGGAUUUCCGGGCUCCGUGCUGGAAAGUCUUUGCCACGACCUCUUGCAUGAAGUUGGGAUCCUCAUGGCCAGGCAGACAAGCCCAGGGUAGAGAAAGCCACCUGUCUCUGGAAACUGUCUGCACUUCCUCCCAACAGACCCAGGCAGAGGUCUGUCAGGCCCAGCAGCCAACCGCUUCCCUCACCCCUGACGACUGGGUGCCAACCCUGUCCUCUUCGAGGAAAACCACUUCACCUGUGUCUCAUGGGAAUGCAGCCCUGGCCGGACCCUGCAGGCCAGGUGACCAGGGAGAGCUUGUGGACAUUCCCAUGCCUCCUUCAAGAAAUGUGGUUCUUAGGACCUGUGAACUCGACUCCCUGCAGGCCCAGCCCAGCAGCCCCCUGGUCAGGCACCCACUGCUGGCCUUGUCCACCAACAACUGCAACAACAGUGGGCCCCCUGUGCUGCAGGAGCCCUGGGGAGGAGCCACGUCUGGGGGCAGGGUGGAGAAGGGCCCCUGCAGCCAGGAGCCGGAGCUGCCCCUAGAGAACCACAGAGAUGGAGGACUCCGGAGCUUUCUGGGCUCAGCAGCUGUUGGCACCACCAACCCCAUGAGCAUUACCCUCUCCCUGGCCUCAGAGGAGCCAGAGUCCAGCCAGGAACCAGAGGGAGGCCUGCAGAGGACAGAAUUGAGUUCUGGAGGGCAUGUGUCAUCCCGGUCCUGCAAGCACGCCAUCACCCCCAUGGUCUCAAGACCCAGCUCGGGGCGUUUCCUUGGCUGCUUCCUCUUCUCCUGCUCCUGGCUCCCAGCCCCUGCCUGCUCUCAGCCUUCACUCUUGCCUCUACAGUUUCUUGCCUACAUAGCCUCACCGGGGGUCAGUGCAGGAGCUGGCGCACCCUCCGCUGUCCCUUCCAGCAGGAACAAGAAAAGCAGCAGCCUCACCUCCACCCUGGGGCUGAAAAAGCUCUUCUUGGCCCUGGGCCAGGGCACAAGGCCCAGGUUGGGCAAGACCCGCAGCUACAGUGUGGAGCAUCUGCAGCCCCCUGCACCUGGCCUGGCUUUACACACCAGCACCCCCAAAGCGAAGAGAGCCCCGUCAUUACAGUCCCUGCAUCUGGUGGCUUUUCUCACCUGCAAUACUGGACCUUUCCCACCAGGGGUCACCCUCCAGCCAACAUCGGAAAGCUGCCUCCUUUCAGAACCUCCAUUCUCUGCUGAGCGGCAAGGUGGACCGGUCCAGCCGCUACCUGGUAGGGGAGCCAGGAGAGCACAGUGCAGCUGGCCGGCCAUCCAGGGCCCCGCCCCGGCGUGCCCUCAGCGUGGAGGACGUGAGCGCCCCCAGCCUGGCUCGCCCCGUGGGACGCGUGGUGGAGGUGUUCGCUGAUGGCACCAGCCAGCUGCUGCUGCAGCGCUGCCCCAAUGGCACCUUUGGCUUCUGUGUGGCCUCUGGGGACGGGCGCCGGGACUCAGGCCAUCCUUCAACAAGCGAAGGGUCACUUCUCCUGGGUCUCAGAGGGGCCGCCAGCUGAGGCUGGUUUGCAUUCCUCACUAAAACAUCGAGAUGCUGGUGUUAAGUUGCUGGCUGUCACAUCUGAUUCUGUGAAGCAUGUGAGAACCGCAGGCUUUGCCUUCUGCUUCUAACUCCAUACAAUGUAGAGAUCAUGCAGCCUUAACAAAGGCAUUUCCAGCAGACAAUAAAUGCCUACACGAGCAGUUUCUGUCAUAUUUCUGUCAUGACUUUCAGUUGUGAAACCUACCCCCGAGUCUCCCCACAACGUCUGGCAUGACGUCAGCGUCUGUCUAGCUCUGGCUGCAUUCUUCAGGGUUUCUCACUGCUCUCCACCUGCACAGCCCGUCCACAAUAGCAGCUGACCCUGCAGGCUCUGCCCCUCGCCUCCUCACCUGCCUCUCCCCUUGCUCCCAACUUGCGGACAGGGUGGGCAGACAGUUAAAACGCCCAGAUACAAAAGGCAAAAGGCAGGAGCUGAGAGAACAGCCCUGGGCCGCCAAGAUGGCGGACUUGCCAUGUUACGAGGGAGACAGCCUUGCAGGAGAGGCUCAGCCUGGCCAAGGAGCACUGGAAGGGAGCCAGGGAGGGGGGAAGUGUCCAAAGAUCAGGUUUGCUAAACCCAGAGCUACAAACCUUCAGGUGCUUUGGGGAGCUUUCAGUGCACUUGCAAAUCAAAAUUUCACUUUUCUGUUAGGGCCAGAAGCUGGGCUGAACAAAAGCUUCUAUGGGGCUGGGUGGGCUGGAGAGAUGAUGGCCUACUAGUCAGAGCCAGCGAGCCUGAGCUGGGGAGCAAUGAGGGGCCCCAGGCAGCACUUAGCCCUGGGUGAGCUCUGCAGGGGUCCAGAGCUGCACGUCCAUCUGUACGCUGCACUCCUCCAGGGAGCCGGCCAUGGGCUCUCAGAUCCCUCGGUUCACGAGCAGCUGGGGGACAGGCCGGGGGGCCAGCGUUCCCUGCAAGGGCCUGAGCCUCCUUUAAUCUCCGGUGGAAGCAGCUGAAGGGGAGUUUGAAACAAUUUAGCUGAAGUUGAGGCUAGAGAGGCUCCCUCAGCUGGUCUCCACUGUGUCACCAGGAGAGCCCAGGGGAACCCAGCCUCACCAGACAGGCCCCCCAGAGCCUGCUCCACUGAUGGGUGCCCCGAGCUGGACGGGGGCAAGGAGGAGAAGCAGGUUCUCUCCAGACUCACACUGUCCCUUAGAGACCCGAAAAUGGUCAUACUGGCCAGGCAGGGCCUCAGGGGUCAGUGGUGGGGAGACGCCGGGUGAAGAAAGGAAAGUGAGCCACCAUGGCUUUCAAUAGGGCAGAAGAAUUUUUAUGUUUUCUGGGCUCUUGCCCAGAUGCCUCUAAAUCCCAAGUGUGGAAGACAUAUCAGAGGUAAACUGAGGCCAGGACUAGUCUUAGACAAUAAUAUGAAGCAAACCAGGUUUGCAUUUGAGCUCAGCCACAUUUGGUACCCGUGAUACACUCCCACCACGCCAGCUACUUGGGGGCAGCAACUGGGCCUCGUUAGUGAAUCCCACUUAGCACAGUGAAUGUCAGGCAUGCACUAGGCCUUUUUUACUUUUGUAAACAUUAUUUUCUUCCCUAUUCUACAAUCAAAGCUUAUCUCAGAAAAAGAUCAGCUCAUUCACACUACGGUACACAUGAAUAAUAAUACAGCUUAAAGCAUUAUUUUUGCACUAGGGGGAUUUUAAAAGAGGAGCUCUAGAAAUGAAGUUACACCAUGGGGGUGGUUGUAAGGCCAGCUGUGAUUGUGAGGUGGAAUAAUGAGUGAGUGAGUGAGUGAGUGAGUGAGUGAGUGAGUGAGUGAGUGAGUGAGUGAGUGAGUGUGUGUGUGUGUAGAAGGGCCCUGUCUGAGCACCUGCCCCCACCAUUACUUGGUCAGCAUUCCACAGAGAUGCAGGUCUUCGAUCUGGAUUUUAUGUUGAAUUCUCCUGUUUUCC